GAGGAGGAGGGAAACAGGAGACCCCAGGCUUUGGCUAUGACGGGGUCAGCCUUUCUACACCAUUCCGGGAUGCUGGUGUCCACCACUGCUGCCUGGGCACGGGGAACAGAGAAUCUGCCUGGUGGGAGCAGACAAGAGGUUCGAGGACCAGAGCUCAUCCUCUUCGACCAAACCAAUGCACAACUCCUACGUACUGAUGGUGGUCUUACGUUUCCCUAAGUUUCUGCCGACUAAACUGUGCACACGUUCUCAGGACCUCCUGAAGCUGCGUCACAGGCGCUGAUCAAAGAACACAACCAAGAGUUUGGCCUUUUCUUCAGCACUGGGAAUUGUGAUCCAAAGCUUUUCCUGAUGAGGCACAAAGUUGGAGAAACAAAACGCAAACUAAGCAACAAUGAAACAGAACAGAGUGAAUCUGCUGUAGCUCAAGAGAGGACGUAGCUGCCCCCACUCCGCAUCCCCGGGCUCGGGUUUGCCUUGCUGACCUCUGCUGCCACCUGGUGCCGCACAGAGAAACUGAGGAGAAACCACAUCAGUCUCCUUCAGCCUCAGCUUCACAUCUGUGGUGGGUCAAGCAACCCUUUCAGAAGCUGUAUAAUGUGG
rnacentral:lncRNA from 1 species